GAUUCGGGGUGCAGCAGGCGCGAAACCUUAGCAAUGUGCGAAAGCACGACUGGGUCAGUCCGAGUGAUUCCUGAUAAAGGAGUCUUUUGCUUGUCCUAAAAGCACAGGUGAAUAAGGGGUGGGCAAGUCUGGUGUCAGCCGCCGCGGUAAUACCAGCACCUCGAGUGGUCAGGACGUUUAUUGGGCCUAAAGCAUCCGUAGCCGGCUCUGCAAGUCUUCGGUUAAAUCCACCUGCUCAACAGAUGGGCCGCUGGAGAUACUACAGAGCUAGGGAGUGGGAGAGGCAGACGGUAUUCAGUGGGUAGGGGUAAAAUCCUCUGAUCCAUUGAGGACCACCAGUGGCGAAGGCGGUCUGCCAGAACACGUUCGACGGUGAGGGAUGAAAGCUGGGGGAGCAAACCGGAUUAGAUACCCGGGUAGUCCCAGCUGUAAACGAUGCAAACUCGGUGAUGCAUUGGCUUAUGGCCAAUGCAGUGCCGCAGGGAAGCCGUUAAGUUUGCCGCCUGGGAAGUACGGACGCAAGUCUGAAACUUAAAGGAAUUGGCGGGGGAGCACAAUCACUAGUGAAU
rnacentral:rRNA from 1 species